GGUCGCUUAGCUCAGUUGGUUAGAGCGUGGUGCUAAUAGCGAUUUCGCCGUAACGCCAAGGUCGCGAGUUCGACCCUCGUAGUGACCA